rnacentral:tRNA from 1 species
GGAGGCUUAGCGAAGCGGCCAAACGCAGCUGACUGUAAAUCAGUUCCUUCGGGUUCGGUGGUUCGAAUCCACCAGCCUCCACCA